GCAAGCGUUAAUCGGAAUUACUGGGCGUAAAGCGUGCGCAGGCGGCUUUGCAAGACAGAUGUGAAAUCCCCGGGCUUAACCUGGGAACUGCAUUUGUGACUGCAUGGCUGGAGUGCGGCAGAAGGGGCAACUGGAAUUCUCGGUGUAGCGGUGAAAUGCGUAGAUAUCGAGAGGAACACCUGCGGCGAAGGCGGGUUGCUGGGCUGACACUGACGCUGAUGCGCGAAAGCUAGGGGAGCGAACGGG
rnacentral:rRNA from 1 species